UCAAGUUUGGUUUUUGGAUCUGGUUAUGUUUAGUUUCAUGUUUUUCUAGUUUGUAUUCAAGAGUCUGUUUUGCUACAGUAACGUUUUGUUCUCUCCUGUCUGUUAAUCAACUCUAUUCGGUUCACUUGCAUCUAGUUAAUCUGUCUUGCUUCACCUGGUUCACACUCCAUAUAUACACACCUGUUCUGUUUAUUCCUCGCGGAAACAUUCUCAAAUCAUGUCUUGUUUACAGAUCAUGCUCAUGUCUUGCUUUUUGGACCAUGCUAUGCCUGUCUAGCCAGCCUGUUUCUGUUUUGUUCCUGCCUCAUCUAAAAUCAGGACCACCCUCCGAGCCCAGCUGAGGGACCAUUACAUGCGUUCCAGCCCGGACAGUGAGUGCUGAUUAAAGAUCUCCGAAGGAAGCCUUGGAAGUCCAGAGGGACCAGGGACCUCUCCAGAUUUUUCUCAUCAUUCACACUGUCGUGAAGGUUGCUGAAAGAGCCAUCUGGGUCCACACAUCGCAUUGCAAGCUGUUCAGCGGAGAACCACUAGAUGAAUCAAAUCAUGGUUAAAGUUUUCCUCUCCCUGCUGGGAUUUAUUGCCCUCUUCUUUUUCAUGAUUACAUUUUCUACUGGCCCUGCAAUUGGUUGAGUGGAAUGAAGACCUUUUCCAAGGCCAGAGCAAAAUCCUUGGGUGAAACGGAACUUGUAUCAAUUUGCAAACUUUUCAGCUAAAACUACAACAGCAGAAAACUGUUUUAUCUGCAUGUCACACCAUCUCCCCUCUACUUAUGUUGCUGUACCAUGCUGUUCCAAGAGGAAGGAAUAUUACAGAUUGCGUGUCAUCCUGUUAUAAUGCUUCAGAUCCCCAGGAUAUUAAUCCCUCUGAGAACAUGACCGAGGUUGGAUUUCAGAUAACUUUUGAGAAGAGUCAACUCACAUGUUGUUUGUGCCUUAUGAUGCGGUCCAUUGAGAGUGUACAAUAUCACAUGUUAUCUUUCUCUAAACCAUCUGCCUAUCGGACUUCUGCAGAAAACAUUGAAGAUGAGGAUGAUUAAUAUUACAUUGCUUAAUGAAACAUUGAUCUUAAAGUGCUGAAAGCAUCUUAUCCUUGUGGAGAAGCCUACGUCAUGCUGACAUGAUUUGCAUUGUGUUUUUUUGUACAAAUGUCUUUUUAUGGUUUGUCAAUUUUUAUUUUGUUUUAUUGUGAUUAAGGAAUAAUCAAAAGGGUGGAAAUGUAGUGGAAAAAUUAUCUUAUGCUUUAGGUAUGAAGAAGUGACUUUGUUUUGACCAACAGUUAUAAUAGUUGCAAAAGAGUUAAUUAAAAUGUUCUCAUAACCUUGCUGAAUCUGUUCUGAGAUUUGUAGAGCGAGGGAGUAAAAACUGCCAGAGCAGUUUCAGACAGGAGGUCAUGGCCUUGUCAAAAGAAAACUGUACUGUCUCUAACUAUUUUUUACUGAAUUUGUUUUUUAUCUAGCCUUGUAAUGUAUAAAGGAGCACUGAAGACUGCCUAAGUACGCAUUCACUGAACUGUGUUUUGUGCCUUUCAAACGCUGUGAGCCGUUGAAAUAAACACUCUGAAGACUA